GACGAACGCUGGCGGCGUGCCUAAUACAUGCAAGUCGAACGCAGUGGGGACGGGUGAGUAACACGUGGGUAACCUCCCAUCAGAGGGGAUAACCCUUGGAAACAGGUGCUAAACCGAUACUGAUGGAUGGACCCGCGGGGCAUUAGCUAGUUGGUGGGGUAACGGCUUACCAAGGCCACGAUGCAUAGCCGACCUGAGAGGGUGACCUGCCACACUGGGACUGAGACACGGUCCAGACUCCUACGGGAGGCAGCAGUGGGGAAUAUUAGGCAAUGGGCGAAAGUCUGACCGAGCAACGCCGCGUGAGUGAAGAAGGUUUUCGGAUCGUAAAACACUGUUGUUAAGGAAGCGGUAUCUAACCAAAAAGCCACGGCUAACUACGUGCCAGCAGCCGCGGUAAUAC
rnacentral:rRNA from 1 species